GAAGCCAGCGGAGACGCAGGUGUGCCUUCGGGAGCUCUGAGACAGGUGCUGCAUGGCUGUCGUCAGCUCGUGUUGUGAAAUGUUGGGUUAAGUCCCGCAACGAGCGCAACCCUUAUCCUUGUUUGCCAGCGAGUAAUGUCGGGAACUCCAGGGAGACUGCCGGUGAUAAACCGGAGGAAGGUGGGGACGACGUCAAGUCAUCAUGGCCCUUACGAGUAGGGCUACACACGUGCUACAAUGGCGCAUACAGAGGGCAGCAAGCUAGCGAUAGUGAGCGAAUCCCAAAAAGUGCGUCGUAGUCCGGAUUGGAGUCUGCAACUCGACUCCAUGAAGUCGGAAUCGCUAGUAAUCGUGAAUCAGAAUGUCACGGUGAAUACGUUCCCGGGCCUUGUACACACCGCCCGUCACACCAUGGGAGUGGGCUGCAAAAGAAGUGGGUAGUUUAACCUUCGGGAGGACGCUC
rnacentral:rRNA from 1 species